rnacentral:rRNA from 1 species
AGUGAACGCUGGCGGUAGGCCUAACACAUGCAAGUCGAACGGCAGCACAGUAAGAGCUUGCUCUUACGGGUGGCGAGUGGCGGACGGGUGAGGAAUACAUCGGAAUCUACUUUUUCGUGGGGGAUAACGUAGGGAAACUUACGCUAAUACCGCAUACGACCUACGGGUGAAAGCAGGGGAGCUUCGGACCUUGCGCGAUUGAAUGAGACGAUGUCGGAUUAGCUAGUUGGCGGGGUAAAGGCCCACCAAGGCGACGAUCCGUAGCUGGUCUGAGAGGAUGAUCAGCCACACUGGAACUGAGACACGGUCCAGACUCCUACGGGAGGCAGCAGUGGGGAAUAUUGGACAAUGGGCGCAAGCCUGAUCCAGCCAUACCGCGUGGGUGAAGAAGGCCUUCGGGUUGUAAAGCCCUUUUGUUGGGAAAGAAAAGCAGCAGGUUAAUACCCCGAUGUUCUGACGGUACCCAAAGAAUAAGCACCGGCUAACUUCGUG